UCUCUACUCUUAAAAUUAAUGUGGGAGUAUUUUAUUUCCAAAGCCAAAUUCCCCUGCAGAGGUAACACUUUAGACUGUCUGUCAUUUACAUCUCAGUGAGAAUUUGUUUCAGAUCCCGUUCUAAAACUAAGUAUUGCCUCUUCCCUAAACAAUGCAACCUGACUACAGAGUUUCUGCCCACACCACCUCCCAGGAGGUGGUGGAAAGGAAACCCUGGCCUGGGCCCCACAGUGUCCUACAAGGAGAGGCAUGCAGGAGAGACUGACGUGUCAGCUGUCAGCCCUGAGCCAAAGAGCUGCCGUCUCCACGGAGGCGUGCCUGGGCUCCCCCACCCUGGGAUGAAAUCAGGGUUCAGACAAGGGCCUUGAAGCCAUCCAUGGACUGACAGCAUAAUGCCCAUGACUUUCACAGUAUGUGUCUUUCAGCUGCAGAAAUAAGGGCAGGGUAAUUUUAGCUCCACAUGUGUUAGCACAACUCCAUCUCUCCUACCACCAGACUGGCUCCAGACAGAGACCCGUCGUGUUCUUCUGCAGCAGGGCACUCAGACGCUGCAGAAUCACAGACUGGGGACUUCCCUGGUCCGUUGUGUUCUUCUGCAUCAGGGCACUCAGACGCUGCAGAAUCACAGACUGGGGACUUCCCUGGUCCGUUGUGUUCUUCUGCAUCAGGGCACUCAGACGCUGCAGAAUCACAGACUGGGGACUUCCCUGGUGGUCCAGUGGCUCAAACUCCAUGUUCCCAGUGCUGGGGGCCCAGGUUCGAUCCUUGGUCAGGGAACUAGACCCCACCUGCCACAUCAAAGAUCAAAGAUCCCACCUGCUAUAACU
ensembl:lncRNA